GGAGAGGNAAGUGGAAUUCCUAGUGUAGCGGUGAAAUGCGUAGAUAUUAGGAAGAACACCAGUGGCGAAGGCGACUUUCUGGACGAAAACUGACGCUGAGGCGCGAAAGCCAGGGGAGCGAACGGGAUUAGAUACCCCGGUAGUCCUGGCCGCAAACGAUGGGUACUAGGUGUAGGAGGUAUCGACCCCUUCUGUGCCGGAGUUAACGCAAUAAGUACCCCGCCUGGGGAGUACGACCGCAAGGUUGAAACUCAAAGGAAUUGACGGGGGCCCGCACAAGCGGUGGAGUAUGUGGUUUAAUUCGACGCAACGCGAAGAACCUUACCAGGUCUUGACAUUGAUGGACAGAACCAGAGAUGGUUCCUCUUCUUCGGAAGCCAGAAAACAGGUGGUGCACGGUUGUCGUCAGCUCGUGUCGUGAGAUGUUGGGUUAAGUCNNNCAACGAGCGCAACCCCUAUCUUAUGUUGCCAGCACUUUGGGUGGGGACUCAUGAGAGACUGCCGCAGACAAUGCGGAGGAAGGCGGGGAUGACGUCAAAUCAUCAUGCCCCUUAUGACCUGGGCUACACACGUACUACAAUGGGAGUUAAUAGACGGAAGCGAGAUCGCGAGAUGGAGCAAACCCGAGAAACACUCUCUCAGUUCGGAUCGUAGGCUGCAACUCGCCUACGUGAAGUCGGAAUCGCUAGUAAUCGCAGGUCAGCAUACUGCGGUGAAUACGUUCCCGGGCCUUGUNC
rnacentral:rRNA from 1 species